AUUGAACGCUGGCGGCAGGCCUAAUACAUGCAAGUCGAGCGGAUGAAGGGAGCUUGCUCCUGGAUUCAGCGGCGGACGGGUGAGUAAUGCCUAGGAAUCUGCCUGGUAGUGGGGGAUAACGUCCGGAAACGGGCGCUAAUACCGCAUACGUCCUGAGGGAGAAAGUGGGGGAUCUUCGGACCCCACGCUAUCAGAUGAACCUAGUACGGAUUAGCUAGUUGGUGGGGUAAAGGCCUACCAAGGCGACGAUCCGUAACUGGUCUGAGAGGAUGAUCAGUCACACUGGAACUGAGACACGGUCCAGACUCCUACGGGAGGCAGCAGUAGGGAAUAUUGGACAAUGGGCGAAAGCCUGAUCCAGCCAUGCCGCGUGUGUGAAGAAGGUCUUCGGAUUGUAAAGCACUUUAAGUUGGGAGGAAGAGCAGUAAGUUAAUACCUUGCUGUUUUGACGUUACCAACAGAAUAAGCACCGGCUAACUUCGUG
rnacentral:rRNA from 1 species